UACGUAGGGUGCGAGCGUUAAUCGGAAUUACUGGGCGUAAAGCGUGCGCAGGCGGUGAUGUAAGACAGAUGUGAAAUCCCCGGGCUCAACCUGGGAACUGCAUUUGUGACUGCAUCGCUGGAGUGCGGCGAGGAGGGGAUCGGAUCCGCGUGUAGCAGAUGAAUGCGUAGAUAUGCGGAGGAACACCGAUGGCGAAGGCAAUCCCCUGGGCCUGCACUGACGCUCAUGCACGAAAGCGUGGGGAGCAAACAGG
rnacentral:rRNA from 1 species